rnacentral:rRNA from 1 species
CCGUGGCCGGAAGGAGCCCGCGCAGGUGGUGCAUGGCUGUCGUCAGCUCGUGUCGUGAGAUGUUGGGUUAAGUCCCGCAACGAGCGCAACGCCGCAUGUUGCCAGCAUUCAGUUGGGCACUCAUGCGGGACCGCCGGCGCCAAGCCGGAGGAAGGCGGGGACGACGUCAAGUCAUCAUGCCCCCCAUGCCCUGGGCCGCACACGUGCUACAAUGGCCGGCACAGCGGGCAGCGGACCCGCGAGGGCGAGCGAAUCCCUUAAAGCCGGCCCCAGUUCGGAUCGGAGGCUGCAACCCGCCUCCGUGAAGCCGGAGUUGCUAGUAAUCGCGGAUCAGCACGCCGCGGUGAAUGCGUUCCCGGGCCUUGUACACACCGCCCGUCACACCACCCGAGUCGUCUGCACCCGAAGCCGCCGGCCCAACCCGCAAGGGGGGGAGGCGUCGAAGGUGUGGAGGGUGAGGGGGGUGAAGUCGUAACAAGGUAGCCGUACCGGAAGGUGCGGCUGGAUCACCUCCUUUCUAGGGAG